UCAAAUCAUUGACCUCUAUGUAAUCUAUGUCGUCUUCACCGCUCUCAUCCAGGUACUUUUUACCCAAUUUUGCUCAUUCUAAUGUCACUGAGAUCUGUCCCCUUUGUUUGUUUUCUUGUGCAAUGGAUUUUAUUUGAGUUUUAAGCUGUUAGUUAUUACCCGUGUCAUUUGGGAGACAAAACCCUUGAUUGAAUUCAGAAGAUCUAGGCCUUGUUUCUUUACUAUUUUUCUAAAAUUUGUUUGUCAUGUCAACAAUUGAACAAAGUAGUACUUGAGGGGGCAUAGAAGGUGGAUGUGAUUCUUAGAUUAUUUAUUUAAGAGAUUAUCUGGCACCAGUUCUAUCUCACCACUUCAAUUCUUCUACUUAGCUAGCAUAAGAAUCAUGUUUGCAAUUCUAUUUGUUCUUCCCCCACCCUUCACUAUAUGUACAUAUUCAUUCACCCACCUUCUAGCUACCAAUAAAAUUGUUCACUUUUACUAAUUAAUUUUCUAAUAUGGAAAUUGAAGAGCAAGCGAUGAAAAUGAUGAUGAAGUUGUUGUCUAGGUUAAGACGUAUUUGUGUUUUUCAUGGCACCAGCCCUAGCAAGAACCCCCCAACUACUUACUCGCUAUCAUCCAACUCACCAAACAACUUGUAAUGUCACAACUCAAUUAUUAUUAUUUCUCUCUUCUUCAAUUCGGACAAAACCACGUUUAUUUAUUCUUUUAAUUAUUAAUUAGAAUAUAUAUACACUCACAUAUCACACCACUCAAUUUUCUUUCUUUAAUUCUGAUCUUCAAACUAUAUAUGUACCAAAUUAGAGUAAAUAUUCCCUUGGCUAAUUAAAAUUUGUAUGAGUUAGAAUAGUAAUAAAAGAACCAAUAAGUAUUCAUAUUAAUAAUCUAGUAAGUAAAGAUGAAUAAACAAUUGAAGGGUUAUUAUUUAUUAUGAGUUUAAUUAACUAGAUUGAUGAUGAUGUGGUAAGAUCAAGAAGAAGAAAUUAUAAGAAUUGGAUAUAUGCAUGUGGAGAGGAACAUCAACUUGGUUUAUGGAGGAGGGAGCAUUGGGCUGAUGGGUUUAAUCUCACAAAUUGUGCUUGAUGGCAGACACCACGUGUUAGGGGUGAUUCCAACAACUCUGAUGCCAAGAAAGGUAUUUUUAUUUUAUUAUGUUUCAUAAGUUUAGAAAUGUUAAUUAAUGAGUGGUUUGGAUUACAUAAGAUAACAGGGGAAAGUGUUGGAGAAGUGAGAGCAGUGUUAAGCAUGCACCAACAUAAGGCAGAAAUGUACUGGUGAUCCAAGAAAGUGUUAAGGGAUGGAAGAAGUUCCUCCAGAAAUUUGUAAUCUUGUUGCUUUAUUUGAUAUUCUUCUAGUUUCUAGUUUAAUGAUUUCCUCCUUCAACGUUAGAAGAAAAAUGUACUUAAGUUCGCUGGCCCAAAUAACCAGUUUAAGCACUUGUAUAUCCUUCAGGACAAUAUAUGUUUUUUAUAUAUGAAUUCACCUUCAAUCAGUCCUUAACUAUGGAGGCAUUGGGUAUCAAUGUGGAAAUAGAAAUACAAAUAGCAGAUAGAGAUAUUUAUUACUUGUUCCUUUACAUGCUAUUAGUUAUAAGGGUUAUUUAAUGUGUGUUUCUUUUUUGUUGUUGAAGUUGUUGUUCUUUUUUGCGAAAAGACCCAUCUUAACAUGGGCACAAUUGGGCAUGUUGAUUAUGGGAAAACCACACUGAUUGUUGCAAUUACCAAGGUGUUAGCUAAAGAAGGUAAAGCCAAGGGCAUUGCCUUUGAGGACAUAGACAAGGCUCCUGAGGAGAAGAAGAUAUGGAUUAUUAUUAUGACUAUGAAAGAUAGAUCACUAUUUUUUUUUAGUCCAUACUCCAAUUAUGCAUGUUGUGAAUAAUACAGAACAAAUUGUUUUAGUAGUAAAAUUUUGUAAACUUCUCUUGAUCUUACAAGCUCAUGUAGAGUACGAGACAACAAAAAGGCACUAUGUCCAUGUUGAUUGCCCAGGACAUGCAGACUAUGUUAAAGUAUGGUUAGUUGGAAUGGGGACAAACUUUGUUAAAGCA